GCCGGCAUAGCUCAGUGGUAGAGCAGCUGAUUCGUAAUCAGCAGGUCCUCGGUUCAAGUCCGAGUGCCGGCU
rnacentral:tRNA from 1 species